GUGCGGUGUGUGGCGUGGUUGGGUUCCUCAUCAUCAACGUGACGGUGGUGAUGGUGUGAGGCAAUACUCACAGGCGGGCACGGAGACGGCGACUACUGGAACUACAACUGGAGCAACAUGGCGGGUAUCUCUACAACUUCGAGGAGCUGAUGGCCGACUACAACCAGCAGAUCAACGCUGGCAACUCUUAGAUCAGGCUCUCUAUAUCACUGUGAGAACGUGACUUUGCCCUAAGGAAUCUAUAUGAGGCUUUGUGAGACCUCUUUGGUGAGAGUAUGUGAAAUUUUGUGAGUUUGUAAGCUUUCACACGGCUCUUUGGAAGACUUUUAGAGAGUUUCAUACGAUUUGAUGACUCUCUGUGAGGCUCUGUGUCCCUUGUUUUUGAGCCUUAAGAUGGAUUAUUUUUUGAAGACUUAAGACUACCAUUGCACUCUUUAAGGCUUUAUAAGGCUUUUACACCUGUAGAAAUAUAUGAGACUGAUAAGUUUAUGAAGUUUAAACAGAACUUUAUGUAUCCCUGAGUGUUCUUCACCGCCACGUGAAUACGAGAGAGAGAGAGAGAGAGAGAGAGAAACAAGAAAUGUGAGAGUUGCGUUCUUUUAAGCAAAUUGUGAACGCAUUCUCAGGUGAGGUGAACAAUGAGUAAGCAGUUGCGUUUUCUCAGGUUGUUUUGUGAGUGUUCUCAGUAUUGUGGUGUUCUACUCAGGGUGUUAGUCGCACGCAGCUUAUAGGAGUGGUUUUUUUUUCUUUUGUGGAAGCAUUACGAAAACUUCUAUUAGUUUUUCCCCUUUGUGGGGGAAAUUUUCUGAAAACGUUUUCAGGGAAGUGUUUUUUCUCUGGGGGUAAUUCCUGAAAGUAUUUUUGUUUUGUUUUUCCCUGAGAACGCUAUCGGGAAACGUUUUCGAGAGCUUGUAAAUAACUCAUUCUCAAAACAAGUCUGUCUAUUUUGUGGGAGCAUUUUUUGAGUUGUUCUCUCGGCUAAUUUUUUCUCCAUCUUUCCGGGAGUGAACUGUGAGGUUGAGCUAUGACUCACACGAGUGGUUGUCUAAAGACAGUGUAUAUACUUAACAGGUAAAGCAGAGGACUGACUACUCAGUACAAAAUGGUGUAAACUACCACUACCACUACGUGUGGUUUAUAGAGAAAAAACUUAUGGAACAACCAAAACUUUAGGAAAUAACGCUAUAAAUUUGAAGAAAAAAAACAUGGUGUUUCGAGAUAAGUGAGGUAAGCUAAAAUAUAUUUGAUAACAAUAAGAAUGAUAAUGUACAAAAGACUCGCUUCAUUCUGAAUAACGCAACAAGAAAAAAACACUGAUUAUUUCUGGUCUUAGUAAAGGUUGACAAAUGGUGUAACAGAUCUGUAACAGAAAAUAUCAACACUACAAGACGAGUUUUCGUAAACGAAGAAAAAAUGAAAAAGUAUUCUGAAAAUCAGGCCACAAAAGACAAACAAUUCCAAGAAAUCAAAUCACUGUGUCGCAGAUGUACUCCCUGUUGGCGAAAUCUAAAUUGACAAAGUAUUAGAUAUUUGAGUGUGAAGAAUACGAAGAAAAAAUAGAAAAACCAGCUCUCCGGAUUGGCAAUUUGAGUCGAAUUUACCCGACGAUCUUCUUGGUGGAUGUCUCCUGGUUUGGAUUGAAUUUUGCUUUUCCUUCACUUGCGAACUUUAAACCAGUGUGGAGAUUGAAUCCCCCAGACGAUACAAUAAAGACGUGUGUGUCGGGGCCUCACCAGCUGGUAAUGUGAUUGUUGUUAUUGUUGUGAUCAGCUGACGCCACAGUUGCCAUGAGUCGACAUUAAGACAAUAUUCACGAUGACUUUGAGUAGUGACAUAUUGAAUCAUUGAGUUGAUGGAUGUUUAUGAGAGAUAAAAACACUUACACAGACAAAAUAUGCAGUAAAAUCAAAAUGGCGACUUCUCUCUUGCUUGGAAAUUAAGGAAUUGAAGAAGUUGAAAGAAAAUGUGGGAGUGAAAUGUUAUUACAAAUUGCAGGAAGGAAGGAAAUGAUCUGAGGUUUGACUUACACAUUUUGAAGACAUUGCAAUUACAGCAAGUAGCAAAACAAAAAUCAAGCGAAUCAAAAGGCACUUCAGGUCAAAUGAAGAAAGAUGAAACACAUGCUGGACGAUUUAAAAGGUUUUUGUACGAGACCUUCGACGUUUCUUGACAGUCCCAAGUGACUGUAAAGAAACUGAUCGUUCAACCUCAAGAAGAAUCAAACAUUAAUGAAAAGAUGUAUAUUUACUGAGUUUUUAUGAGAUAUUUGAUAUGUAAUGUAUUUUGUCGUACAAGUGGAUGUCCGGUGGACCGUUGAUGUAUAACUUCUUUUAACCUUGUACUGCUUUAGCCUCUAUGAAGGAGAUACUUACAUUGUCGUACUAGUAGCAUUAAGUGGCCUCUUGGUCGUACGUGAGGUUGUAAUGAUCACACUGACAGGUUAACUGUGACACAUAUGUGUAUAGUCAUCAACGAUGAUAAACUUUGUAUUCUGAUCUUAGUAUUUAGAAGAUUUUGAUGAGAUAAUGUAGAAAACGAGGCCAGGACGGGAGAGUGGGAGGUAGCCAGCUAGCCCAGGGAGGUGGACGACGGCCGGGGUGAGGCUCUGCCCUGCACCGUAAACACAGCGCCAGCAUGCACUAUCAACAGCGCCUGAGGUUUCUCUGCAUCCCAAAGUAACAAGCUGAUGGAGGCUACACCAGACGAAUGUUCGCCCGCCUUCUGCCUGCAGUGGCGCUCUUUUUACGGUACGAGCAAUCAGCCGCUGUUUGGGGACACCCGGUACCUCUGCCUCGUCCCUGGUGCUCCCCCUACUCUCCAGGAUUUUAAAUCAUUUCUUAAUCCCUAAAGCCAAAUUUGGGGUAAUUUUAUAGGGGAAUAUAAGACAGGUUUUACAUGAUAACGCGGUGGAUCAUUUAUAUGCUAAACAGGACUCGCCAUUACCUUCAGAAGUGACGUGGACACCCAGGCAAGUAAGCGUUUAAUCUACUUUCCUCAACAUCAAUUUCCAGGUACCCGAAUAUUUUCAGGGGGAUAGAGUAAAAGUUUCAGGAAAAGAGCGUCUUAAAUUGUUUGUUUAUAUUCACCCGAAAUAUAUUGGUCGUUAGGCGCGUCGUUUUCAGUCAGAGAAGUACAGUACAGUACAACAUUCUGUCUGCCCUGUCGAGCAAGUAUGUAACAGACCAGUUGUCAGAAUCAGUCAGAAUUUCCUCGGACACUGAAACAACUGUGAAUGUCGAGGCUUACUGAGCGACCAGCGGUGGAGGCGUGAGGGCGUUUUAAGACAAUUUAUGUAAAGCUUCUUAUCCUUUUGGGUCCGGAUUCUCAGAGUUUCGUACGGUGAAUAUAACUCACUACUGAAGGUGUGAGAAAAUAACGGUCUGGUGAACUUAAACUAAAAUACAAUAAUUACUGUACAUCCACAAGACUAACGCAGAAAUCAUAUUGAAAUUAUUUAACUUGAUAAAUAAGUUGCUUUAGCAGUAGUUUGGGAACAACUUUAACUAUCAACUGUUUUAUGGUGUUAUUUUGUCUCCUAAGAGGUGCUAAGUGAAAGUAUCUAGUUAAGGAAGGGCCUCAGCAAUAUCUUUGUUAUUAUUGGGCGAUAUUUUUUAUUUUAGCUUUAUGUUAACCAGUUAGGUGCAUUUUUACACCUUUAGUUACGAGUGAUAUUCACCGUAAGAACCUUCGUGCAUAUGGACGCUGGGCACUAUAGCAUUCUGCUGCCUUGAUAGUUUUCAUGACUAGUAUCGCAAAUAUCAUGAGUGAGUUUCACAUUUACAGCCAGACUUAAACAAUGUGCUAACAGUCUCAGCUGCGUAUAUUAGUAGAUAGAACCAUUGAGGCCGUUCUUGUGAGCAGAUGAGGUCAAAUGACAAGACGCCGGUAACAAUAAUAUAAAGUACUGAUCAGAUGGUAUUAAAUAACAAGGUGACUUUUCUUCGUAUUAUAAGUAUAACAUCUGCACAUAAGAACGGACUUGCCAUUUAUUUACUUGAUCAUUUUUGUCAAUAUUCUACCGUUCCUCAACAUGAAAAAAAUGGUGUGUGUGUGUGAGUACAUUACAGGUGACUAAUUAAAUUUCUUGAAAUGACUAUAUUUCUCAUGUUACGAUUGUCUAUUGUGGUUGACGGUUAAUAGUUUCGUAUAUCCAGGUAUUGUAAUACUAACUUACCUGUCUUGACACAAACAUAUAAGGGAUUGAAGCACCUAAAUGAAUGAAGCACUUAAAUGAAUGAAGCACUUGAAGGAAGCACUUAAAUGAAUGAAGCACUUGAAGGAAGCACUUAAAUGAAUGCAACUACCAGAAAUCAAAACAUGAGCCAAAAGAAAAAGAAAUAAUAUUUUUUUUUUAGUUAGGUCCCGAAAAUUUGUAUAUAUUAACACGUAUGGAACAUGUCUGUGUUUUGGCCACUCAGCUGACCGCACACGGUAGAGUACAAGCUCGUCUCGUCCACAACUGAACCAAAACAUGAAUGAACACAGUGAUUCAACCCCUUACCUGCGACAGACUUUAAAGAACUCAGUUAAAAGGCCCAUAGUCUAGCACAAUGUGUAUUAUUGGUGUGUGUGUGUGUGUGUGUGUGUGUGUUCAAAGCGACCACGACACUGAUUUUUAGGUCCACAGACAUAAUAUAAUUGUUUUCACACACACACACACACACACACACACACACACACACACACCAAAAAACAAGUAUAUCGUGCCAUGUUUGCGCCUCUAAACUGACGCCUUAACUCACCAGAAUAGAGAGUAAGUCUGUCGUCCUGUCGGGGUUAACUCCAUAGUGUUAGUGAAUAUAGUCAAUAUAUUUUUAGAUCUUGAACUUGGAUAAUUUAAAGAGUCUCAUUUCCUUGAUAAUAUAAUGUUAGGUAAGUAGGUCAUUAUUAUACAUAGGUUUGGGUGAUUCGCUUCAAGGGAUCACGAGCGGGGGGAGGUGUGUCAAAGGUAGGGUCAGGCCACUCCAGGGACGUGGGGGGAGGAUGUCCCAGGGGGUCUGUCCCAACUCUUACCUCGUUAUCCCACUCGCUUUGUUUAUCACACUUCUCUCGUGUCUACUUUUUUUAUUAUUAUUAUUCAGCAGUAUCCCAAUUACAAUCCUCGUCAUGUUUCCAAUCACCCACUUCUAACUUAGAGUGAACAAAGUAUCAUGUAUAUAAAGAGCAAUUUCCAUUAACAAGGCCUUAUGUACUAGUUAUAAAGUUCUCUUUCCUACUUCAUGUGUCCACUUUGAAACAAUUAUUAAUACUAUACAAUAGAUUUAUUAUUUUAUUAUUAUUAUUAUUACUGCUAUUAUCAAUAUCAUUAUUAAUAUUAUUAAGAAAUAUUAAUAAUAUUAUUAUGACUAUCAUCACUACUUACAUCAUCAAUAAGUAUGAUCAUUACUUUCAUUAUAUUCAUUGCAAUUAUCACCCUAAGUUUCAUGCCCACAUUAUCCUUAAUUAUCAAUAUGUAUCCUAUUCCAUUUUUUGUUAGUCCUUGUGUUGUUUGUGUUUCCUCUCGCUCCUCCUUUUUCCUGUUUGUGUUCCGGCGACUCUGCCACAACCCGGCUACUGUAAAUACUCAACCAAGACUUAAAUACUAGCGGCACAGUGUUUCUCUCCCAAAGUCUUGAGUGUGUGUGUGUGUGUGUGUGUGUCUAACCAUGUACGUCUGUGUGCAUAAUUACGCACCUUCGUUUGUAUAUGUGUCUUGUGCUUCUGCGCCCAACAUAAGGGUCAAUUUUACGCCGCAAAGAAAUGAUCCAUGAAGCUAUUGAAAAUAACAUGAGUACCGCCCCCGAGGCAAUGUCCGGCCAAUCAUUUGUCGGGUUUCUUCGCGGGGCUGCAUUUUAAUUGGACAUUAAUGGUCUGAGCACCUGAUUGGUAUCGCUAGUUCAGAUUUUUUUUUCUGUAUUUAUUUCUCUAUAAUGAAAAAAAAAUGUUUUAUCAUUUCCAGGAAUUUUGUCUUUUAUUGGCAGAACAUAUUUAACUGGAAGCUUAAAAUAGACCUGGUUAUAUUAUCACUUAGUAGGUCAGGUUAAAGUUGUUGUUGUUAUUUUAAUUAACACUUUUAAAAGUUCCUACCAAUUAAGGACUUUUUAAUUCGCUUUAACGCUAAACUUCUCACCAGUUGUCUGAACACUAUGUUCUGACUCUCAGCUCUGACGUGAAUUUUAGUUCAAAAAAAAUUCAUUUUCCAAAGAUUUUCGUCACUUUUCUAAAUUCCUACCACGGAUCUUCUGAAACAGGCGUCUACCGGUCUUGUUAGUCAGAAAAAACUAUAUAGUCAGGUUAGUGAGAGUUGAAAAACAUGUUUUAACUGGCUAGCUGGAGCUGUUCUAACUAACACCUUCACGUAUGACUCGGUUACUUGUUGUCGACUCCCCAGAAUUAUCCUGAAACAAACUGGUCGAAGAGCUGGCUGUUCGAUACAGACAGAUGGACAGACACCCAGACAGAUAAAGAUACACCUUAGGUAGACAGAGAUACAUCCAGAGGCACAGAAAAAUACAUAGACAGACAGACAGACAGACAAAUUUAUCUUUUUAAUGUUAGGUCUGUUCAAGAGUAUAAUUUGUCCUUCUACUGGGUAAGAUUUGUGUGUGUGUGUGUGUGUGUCAAUGUCUCAACAAAUAUUUCAAGAACCAGUUGCAAAAUAUUCAUCAUUCUCAGAUAAUUUUUGUCCCACUAAUAGAAAAAAUCAUUAGAUACCAGUUAAUAUAAGUCAAAGUUAGAAGCUUUUACGCCAUGAUACACGUCAUACGGCCCGCAAAGCAGAAGCCCUUUGACUCGUUGGAACGCUGGUGCACGUACGCCUCUCGGGGGAGGGGCCAGUACAAAUCUUAUUUAAUUUAGAUAAAUUAUUAUUUCCAUAUUGAGUUCAAAUAAUGUAUGAUUCGUUGAUUUUGUUACCUUUUCACGAUGGAAAACCCUAAGAGAAUAUCAAUAACACAAUAAAAGAAGACUAUUGAUAGUUCAUCAAGAAACUGAAGAUUACUUUGACUGACUAAAAGAAGGCAAUUGAGAAGCAUUUUUCCAAAUGCAAGAUAAAAAAUACAACUUAGAAUAUAGAUCCCAGUUAUCGUGUGCUCGUGUGAUGUUUGCAGGUGAGCUGUAUGACUGCCGUUCUAGUAAGGUUUCUAAGGGAGAGAAACUCUGUACACUGCAUCCUUUAUAUCAUAUUGAUGGUAUUUAUAAUCUGAUCUCUACAGCUUCCUUUUUAGCUCUAAGGAACUCGUGCUUUGUUUAUUAGCAUAAUUAGCUGACAUUUCCGGAGCCCGAGGCGAGGGUAAUAUGUAAACUUGGGCGCCUAUGAACGGCGGUAAUUGGCUGAGAAGCGGAGGUGGAAGUAGCCAAUGGCAGCAGGCCCUCGUGCAACCAAUAAUAGCUAGGUUUUCAUAUGGUCUCAGCCAAUGAUCGUCAGUCCUCUUUGUCACUUGUAGCGCGUCAAACCGCAUAGCAACCUACUUAAAGAUCUUCUUCCUUAUUAUAGAGUGCAGGGUUACCUAAGAUCUUUGCCAUUAUCCACAUUUUAAGACGAGUAAGGUCUUAUUUGGCGCACACACACACAGGGAAGGAAAUCAAAUUAUUUCCCCGGCAUAUGUGUGUUUCUCAUUCCCUCGGUAGUCUUUAAGCCGAGUCAAUACUGUCCUUGUGGCAGGUAGUAUAAGGCCUAAAGUGACGUGCCUUUAUCCUGGUUGAGGCAGGAAGAGAGUUACGUAUGAUCUGACUUGUAGAUUUGAUAUAUUUUAGUAUACUCAUGUGUUUUAUACUCGUGACGCUUGUGUAGGGAGAGAGAGAUAGUGAGAGUGAGUGAAAGCUAAUUAGAGAGAACGAGGUGAGAGAAGAAAGGGGAGAGAGAGUGUGUGUACAUAAGAGAAAUGGGAAAGUGAAAGAAACGGGGAAGGUGUAAGGGAGAGAGAUUGGAUGUGAGAGAAAGAGAGUGAGGAGGGGCAAUUACAUUAAGGGAGAGAGAUAGGAGGGGAUUGAGAGAAAAAGAGUCCAUACGCGCAUGAGUAACACUAGACAGCUACAUGAAUGAAGGUUGUUGCAGCAUUUCAACAAACAAAAUAAUACCUUUAUUCAUAAAAUGCUCACACACACACACACACACACACACACACACACACACCUCUGCAGCACCUCCAGAACUCAACACGUAAAUCAACACUAACAAACUGUACCUAAUUGAAAGCUGCAACAGCCUGAAGAUUGUGAAUUACGUCACUAUAUCACGCAGUUAUAUUGGCUUGUGUAGCGGUGUAAGAGAAAGAUGCACAUUCCAGGGUCAUCUCAGGUGAUUCAGUGCUGGUGGGGACGGUACAGGGUUGAGGUAGUCAAGUGGUGUACAGGAGACGUGAAGAACCUUCUUUUUACCGGGGCCAAAACAACCAUCAGUUUAAUAUCAAUUGUGUACUUUUAAGGUGACUUCUGACGCAAAAAUUCACCUGGAUUUAUAUUUUUAGGUGAAUUAUCAUCCGGAUUAUUAUUUAUGAAUCACCUUAAAAGAUUCACAGUGAUAUGGCGAGUGUUUUUUGUAAGUCCAUUAAACAUACUGGUAACUUCUCCCUGUAAGACAUUAAGCUUGACCUUACGAAACAGUAUCGUGCCACCACACUUGAACCCCUGAGAGGACCCCCCUUAAACAACCAGCAGCAGUAGUUGGGUAGUUAGGUAUAUAGAUGCACGGUUAACUAGGAAGUUUGUAUCCAAAAAAAAAAAAUUCGUGGAAAAUCAAGCCGAUAUUUUGUAAUAUAUGUAAGUUACAGUAGAUUAAUAAAUGACCAUGUAUCAAAAUGUCA
rnacentral:lncRNA from 1 species